GGUGCGGUCGGUGUGUUGAGUUGCCGGCGCGGGCAGCCGGUGCGGCGGGGCGGGGCGGGGAGGGCCGGGCCGGUCCGGGCCCGACCCGCGCACCACAGCCACCCCACACCGCGUUGGAGGAACGUGGUGGAGUUUUGCCUUCCGUUCAGAUGUUGGUGCAAAGAGAACUGAAUGAAAUGACUUGUUACAGAAGAGCCAUCAGCAGUACAGUAUCUUUCCACUGAAGGAAAUGGAAAUACAAUACCAAAUCCCAUGCUUUGAGAAAGGAAUAUAGAAGGGAAUCAUGGAUUCAUCACCAUUCAUCAUGCACUUCCAUGUGCAUGUGUGUGCCUGCACUGUAAACUGAGUCUGCAGAUAAAUUGUCUUCUUGCAAGUGAGCUGUAAUUAGACUUCUGACUAGCUGGAAAGUGACUAUUCAUUACACAGCAACUCUACAGAGCUAGAUUAAUGGUUUUUGAGGUUUUUAAAAAACACCAUUUGCACUUUCUGGCAUCCACAGGAUAAUAAUAUUAUAACCAAAUAGCUUCUUAGUAUUUUGAAAUGCAAUAGCAUAUACGAGUCCAUGUCAUCAACUUGGAGCCCAGUGUGUUAGGUCCUGUACAAACACUGUAUAGUUUGGCUCCACCCAAAAAGUCUUACUGCCUAAGUGAGCAAGACCGAGCCAGAGAGGACUAUUUUUGAGGCUGUCAAUUUCCCAUGUAACUCUGCACCUUCUGGGACUUGCUGCAUAAUUCUGCCCCAGAACGUAAGCAGGAUUUGAGACAGUAAGUCCCAUUUCUUUUUUACAGAAGAUGUCUUUAUUGCUCCAGGCCCAGUGCAGAUGGCUUCCUAAAGGCAGAUUUGUCUGUCACGACUGGGGUGCCCUGGUGUAUGCACCAUAUGGCAGCAUCAGAGAAACUCUGGUGUCAGGCUCUGGCUGGCUGCUGGCAUGCAAGAGUGGCCACUGAUUGUGCCCACAAUCAUUGGAUACUGUCUUCAUCCCUAAGGUCUUCUAAGAGCUAAUUCGCUUUCAAAAAAUACAAGGAAACAAGACUGUUAGGUGCCUAGUCCAAACCGUGAAAGCGUAGAGGCCACCUUAAUGAGACCACCUGCUGCUUUUAACCUGUGGGUAUGUUCUUCAGCCUCAAACAAGGAUUUAGACCUGACCAUCUAGACCUUGAAAUGACAUAGGUUACCUUCCAAACCUGUGCUGUGCAUAACAGAUGCAGAUAUGUAUUCCCCUGACUGCAAGCACCUUGAAGCAGGAAUUCUUUUAAGACAAAAACUUCUUAGGAACCUUUAAUGGAGGGGUACUUUACCUUCUAACAAUAUCACAUUCUUACCUUUUAGGCUGAAAGAUGCUGUUCUUUUAUGAAUAGUCAUUAUUAUAAGAUAGUUUAUUAUAUACAAAAUCAAUGUGUACUCUUUUAAGAAGAAUAAAAUAAAAUUAUAUUUCUGCUGCUACUGUAUAGAAAGCACUUGCAUGUUUUUCUUACGAGCUUUAACACUGAAAACUAGGAAGUCAUAAAAUUUACAUCUGGCAUAGGAACUCCUUUAAAACUCCAGUAGUUUCUUUCAGUGCUCAGAUAAAAUUCUAUUUUGAUCAGUAGAGCUAUAUUUAAAAAAAAAUGAUCUGUCUAUAUGUGAAACGCAACUGUUAGGGACUUAUUUAAUUCUGAUUUCCUAAAGCUGCUUCUGUGUAUAGAUACAUUGAAUGAGUUUUGUAUCAUAUUAAAAAUCAAUACAGCGGAGUUUU
ensembl:lncRNA uncharacterized LOC115619374